AAUGGCAUUUCAGCCAAAGGACGUUACCUCCACAUUGAGUUAGAAAAGUGAAAAGGUGGCGCUUGUUCCUUCGUUAAUGGCUACAAGACCUUAAAGCACUGAAGGAAACCUCAACACAUCACAUGUGCUUUGGAUCCACAGCGAAAGACAGUGGACUCUUUGCUAGUCUGCAUAGCAACACUUCCUUUGAGGAGGCAGUCUUCACCCACCCUAAAGUACAGUUUCUUCAGCACUACAGAAGCCAUUACUCAGUCUACGUGACCUCAUCCGCUCCAACUCAAGAUCUGAUCUCCAUUCCCUGAACGCAGCGACUCAGAACCUGGUGAUGAACCAUCGCUCAACAGCUCAUCACCGCCUCCUGUGUCAUGGACCCUUCCCAUUUGGGUUGCAGUCCAGGAUGCAAUGCUGAUCUUCAUGCUCCUGGAUCAUUCCAGCACAUUUAAUAGUGCCGACCAUGAGAGGGUGCUGGUGCACCCCAGGGACCUGGCUGGGAUGAAGCCUUUAACAUCCACUUAUAAUAGUUCAGCUGAAUGUGUGGUGCCUGACUGUGGAAAUCUCAGUGCUCCAUAGGGCCCGGCUGAGUGAAUGGGACCUACGCC